rnacentral:rRNA from 1 species
UACGUAGGGUGCGAGCGUUGUCCGGAAUUACUGGGCGUAAAGAGCUCGUAGGUGGUUUGUCGCGUUGUUCGUGAAAACUCACAGCUUAACUGUGGGCGUGCGGGCGAUACGGGCAGACUGGAGUACUGCAGGGGAGACUGGAAUUCCUGGUGUAGCGGUGAAAUGCGCAGAUAUCAGGAGGAACACCGGUGGCGAAGGCGGGAUCUCUGGGCAACAACUGACGCUGAGGAGCGAAAGCGUGGGGAGCGAACAGG